UUGGAGGGCAAGUCUGGUGCCAGCAGCCGCGGUAAUUCCAGCUCCAAUAGCGUAUAUUAAAGUUGUUGCAGUUAAAAAGCUCGUAGUUGAAUUUCGGGAUCAAAUUGUCGGUCGUGCCUCGGUACGCACUGGUAUUAUUGGUUCCUACCUUCUGAAGAACCGCGAUGUCAUUAAUUUGGUGUCGUGGGGAAUCAGGACUGUUACUUUGAAAAAAUUAGAGUGUUUAAAGCAGGCUUACGCUUGAAUACAUUAGCAUGGAAUAAUGAAAUAGGACGUUUGAUUCUAUUUUGUUGGUUUCUAGGAUUGACGUAAUGAUUAAUAGGGAUAGUUGGGGGCAUUAGUAUUCAAUUGUCAGAGGUGAAAUUCUUGGAUUUAUUGAAGACUAACUACUGCGAAAGCAUUUGCCAAGGAUGUUUUCAUUAAUCAAGAACGAAAGUUAGGGGAUCGAAGACGAUCAGAUACCGUCGUAGUCUUAACCAUAAACUAUGCCGACUAGGAAUCAGACGAUGUUAAUUUUUUAAUGACUCGUUUGGCACCUUACGGGAAACCAAAGUGUUUGGGUUC
rnacentral:rRNA from 1 species